GGGCAGUUAGCUUAGUCUGGUCCAAAGCAGUCGACUCAUAAUCGAUUCACCGCUGGUUCGAAUCCAGCACUGCCCA
rnacentral:tRNA from 1 species